UACGAAGGUGUCAAACGUUGUCCGGAAUUACUGGGCGUAAAGGGCGCGUAGGCGGUUGGAUAAGUCAGAUGUGAAAGCUCAGGGCUCAACCCUGAGAUUGCAUCUGAUACUGUCUGACUUGAGUUCGGUAGAGGAGGGCGGAAUUCCUGGUGUAGCGGUGAAAUGCGUAGAUAUCAGGAGGAACACCUGUGGCGAAGGCGGCUCUCUGGUCCGAUACUGACGCUGAGGCGCGAAAGCCAGGGUAGCAAACAGG
rnacentral:rRNA from 1 species